rnacentral:rRNA from 1 species
CCUACGUGUGGCAGCAGGGAGGAAUAUUGGUCAAUGGGCGAGAGCCUGAACCAGCCAAGUCGCGUGAGGGAGUACUGCCCUAUGGGUUGUAAACCUCUUUUGUCGGGGAGCAAAAGCCGGACGUGUCCGGCUGUGAGAGUACCCGAAGAAAAAGCAUCGGCUAACUCCGUGCCAGCAGCCGCGGUAAUACGUAGGGUGCGAGCGUUAAUCGGAAUUACUGGGCGUAAAGGGUGUGCAGGCGGCUGAGUAAGACAGAUGUGAAAUCCCCGGGCUUAACCUGGGAACCGCAUAUGUGACUGCUUGGCGAGAGUGCGUCAGAGGGAGGUGGAAUUCCACGUGGAGCAGUGAAAUGCGUAGAUAUGUGGAAGAACACCGAUGGCGAAGGCAGCCUCCUGGGACGCAACUGACGCUCAUACACGAAAGCGUGGGGAGCAAACAGGAUUAGAUACCCGGGUAGUC